AAACUUUGGUCUUAUGCCAUUGAAUUUUUGAACCCCUUUUUCUUAAAUCAAACUUGUAAAUAAAUCUAAUCAUAUUGACUUAAAAUUUUAAAAGACAAAAAGAACUAACAACCCCUUUCAAACCUUUGGCCCCUUUGUGCCCUUCUCAGGUAAAUUUUCAUUAAAAGCAAUUCACCAACUUUGAAAUUUUUACCACGAACUACGAGGUUUUGAUCCCGCAUUUUUAUGUUGGUACGUAGGCACAAGCCCGAAGAUCUUGUCAAACACAAAAAUAUAAUC
rnacentral:lncRNA from 1 species